rnacentral:rRNA from 1 species
UACAGAGGUCCCGAGCGUUGUUCGGAUUCAUUGGGCGUAAAGGGUGCGUAGGCGGUCUGCUAAGUUUGAUGUGAAAUCCCGGGGCUCAACCCUGGAAUUGCAUUGAAUACUGGUGGACUAGAGUACUGGAGAGGAAACUGGAAUUUACGGUGUAGCAGUGAAAUGCGUAGAGAUCGUAAGGAAGACCAGUGGCGAAGGCGAGUCUCUGGACAGUAACUGACGCUGAGGCACGAAGGCCAGGGGAGCAAACGGG